UAUUUGGUUAAGAGUUUAGAUUAGAUUAGUUAUACUUAAAAGUUCAGAUCAAAAUUAUUGUAAUCAAGUUUUACAACUUAAUUUCGUUGACUAAAUAUUAAUAUAUCAUUUAUCUAUAAGUUAUACAGUGGUACUGUGAUUGAUGAUGCACUAAUAAUUAAGAUGUUAUAUCACUGAUACAUCAGCAAAUGCGUCAGUAUUUAGUCAAUUAAAUUAAAUUGUGAAAUUUUUUGCUAUAAUUCUAAAAAUUUGAGUCAAAAAUUGUAAUACAUUAAAAUUUGGGGAUUAAGGUUUAUCCCUCUUAUAGUUUGAGAGCCAAAAGUACAAUUUAUUUAUAAUUCUUAAAUUAAUAUGUCUAGAUCAUAUUAUAUAAUAGAAUUUUAAAAGUUUAUAAUAACUUUCUCAUAUGGAUUAUUAUCAUUAUCAUUAAUAUUAUUGGUGUAAAUUUUAGAUUUACAUUUUUCUCUUGUGUAUAUAGAUAAUAUUUUUUAAAAUUAAUGGCGGCGGUGUUGACUGAAGAUUGUGUAUAUAUAUAUAUAUAUAUAGAGCAUGGCUACUAUAUUCUUACGAGUAUAGAAUCCUUACUACUCAUAAGUUGUUUUCGAUGUUGGAGUUUUCAAAUCGACGAUCCACACCGUUAAACAUAAUCUAGAGUAUUUGAAACUUCUAAAAAAUAAAUUUCAUAAAUUUUUGAAAUCAUUAUAAAGUCCAUCAAGCGAGUAUAAAAUUACGGUUAAAAUUGAACGACAUCCUAAAAAUGAAUGAUCAGAUCCUUCAAUUUAUGAUCGGAAUUGUUGAUCUUUAUUUAGGUAGUGAAUAGAAUUUUUUAUCAAAAAUUCAAUCUAUUUCAAUUCUUUUUCACUGUUAAAAUAACAAAUAUUUCAUACCGGCCGUUAAAAAUUAUCAAUUUUGUGACCUCUUGAUCGUAAGGUAAAUGAUAUCGAAAAAUUAUAAAAUUUAAUAUCUAGAAGUUUUAAAUACUCUAGAUAAUGUUUAACGGUAUGGAUCGUCAAUUCGGAAGCUCUAUCAUCGAAAACAACUUAUGAGUACGAGGGUGAUCGUACUCAUAAGAGUAUAGUAGAUCCAAAAAUUAUUAAUUUUUAACUUAUCAAACUAAUUUUUAUUUUAAUUAAAAAUUAAUUAACUUUU
rnacentral:lncRNA from 1 species